rnacentral:rRNA from 1 species
GACGAACGCUGGCGGCGUGCUUAACACAUGCAAGUCGAACGGAAAGGCCUCUUUCGGGGGGUACUCGAGUGGCGAACGGGUGAGUAACACGUGAGUAACCUGCCCUUGACUUUGGGAUAACUUCAGGAAACUGGGGCUAAUACCGGAUAGGAGCUCCUGCUGCAUGGUGGGGGUUGGAAAGUUUCGGCGGUUGGGGAUGGACUCGCGGCUUAUCAGCUUGUUGGUGGGGUAGUGGCUUACCAAGGCUUUGACGGGUAGCCGGCCUGAGAGGGUGACCGGCAAAAUGGGACUGAGAUACGGCCCAGACUCCUACGGGAGGCAGCAGUGGGGAAUAUUGCACAAUGGGUGGAAGCCUGAUGCAGCAACGCCGUGUGCGGGAUGACGGCCUUCGGGUUGUAAACCGCUUUCGCUCAUGACGAAGCUUUGUGUGACGGUAGUGGGUAAAGAAGCACCGGCUAACUACGUG